rnacentral:rRNA from 1 species
CGGAGGUGCAAGCGUUAAUCGGAAUAACUGGGCGUAAAGCGCACGCAGGCGGUUUGCUAAGCUAGAUGUGAAAGCCCCGGGCUCAACCUGGGAACUGCAUUUAGAACUGGCGAACUAGAGUCUUGUAGAGGGGGUAGAAUUCCAGGUGUAGCGGUGAAAUGCGUAGAGACUCUGGAGGAAUACCGGUGGCGAAGGCGGCCCCCUGGACGAGAGACUGACGCUCAGGUGCGAAAGCGUGGGGAGCAAACAGGAUU